UGCUGAAAACAGUGUGGAUGGCAAAC
rnacentral:piRNA from 2 species